rnacentral:rRNA from 1 species
UUCACGGAGAGUUUGAUCCUGGCUCAGGACGAACGCUGGCGGCGUGCUUAACACAUGCAAGUCGAACGAUGAACCGCUUUCGGGCGGGGAUUAGUGGCGAACGGGUGAGUAACACGUGGGCAAUCUGCCCUGCACUCUGGGACAAGCCCUGGAAACGGGGUCUAAUACCGGAUAUGACCGUCUGCCGCAUGGUGGAUGGUGUAAAGCUCCGGCGGUGCAGGAUGAGCCCGCGGCCUAUCAGCUUGUUGGUGAGGUAGUGGCUCACCAAGGCGACGACGGGUAGCCGGCCUGAGAGGGCGACCGGCCACACUGGGACUGAGAC